UGUUAAAGUUCUUAUUUCAUGGUAUAACUUUGGUAUGCUUGGACCUAGAGUCUUCAAACUUGACAUGAAGGUUGGCCAGGAUUAACAGAUGACCACUGGUCAUUUCAAGGUCAUUCAUUUGAAGGUGAAGGUCACUGUGACCUUCAAUAUAAAAAUGUUAAAGUUGUUAUAACUUUGGUAUGCUUGGACCUAGAGUCUUGAAACUUGACAUGAAGGUUGGCCAGAACUAGUAAGUAACCACUGGACAUUUCAAGGUCAUUCAUUUGAAGGUCAAGGUCACUGUGACCUUGAAUGUAAAAAUGUUAAAGUUGUUAUAACUUUGGUAUGCUUGGACCUAGAGUCUUGAAACUUGACAUGAAGGUUGGCCAGAACUAGUAAGUAACCACUGGACAUUUCAAGGUCAUUCAUUUGAAGGUCAAGGUCACUGUGACCUUGAAUGUAAAAAUGUUAAAGUUCUUAUUUCAUGUUAUAACUUUGGUAUGCUUGUACCUAGAGUCUUCAAACUUGAAAUAAAGAUUGGCCAGUA